CCUACGGGAGGCAGCAGUGAGGAAUAUUGGUCAAUGGUCGGGAGACUGAACCAGCCAAGCCGCGUGAGGGAUGAAGGUACAGAGUAUCGUAAACCUCUUUUGUCAGGGAACAAAGGCGGGGACGUGUCCCCGGAUGAGUGUACCUGAAGAAAAAGCAUCGGCUAACUCCGUGCCAGCAGCCGCGGUAAUACGGAGGAUGCGAGCGUUGUCCGGAUUUGUUGGGUUGAAAGGGUGCGCAGGCGGUCUGUAAAGUCAGCGGUCAAACCCCGGGGCUCAACCCCGGCCCGCCGUUGAGACUGGCAGUCUCGAGUUGGAGAGAAGUAGGCGGAAUGCGCGGUGUAGCGGUGAAAUGCAUAGAUAUCGCGCAGAACUCCGAUUGCGAAGGCAGCAUGCCGGCUCCACACUGACGCUGAGGCACGAAAGCGUGGGUAUCGAACAGGAUUAGAUACCCCAGUAGUC
rnacentral:rRNA from 1 species